UACGGGGGGGGCAAGCGUUGUUCGGAAUUACUGGGCGUAAAGGGCUCGUAGGCGGCCAACUAAGUCGGAUGUGAAAUCCCCAGGCUCAACCUGGGAACUGCAUCCGAUACUGGAUGGCUUGAAUUCGGGAGAGGGAUGCAGAAUUCCAGGUGUAGCGGUGAAAUGCGUAGAUAUUGGGAGGAACACCAGUGGCGAAGGCGGCUACCUGGACCGGUUCUGACGCUGAUGCGCGAAAGCGUGGGUAGCAAACAGG
rnacentral:rRNA from 1 species